rnacentral:lncRNA from 1 species
AUGGGGAGCUGGCUGGUGCAGGGGCAGCGGCUGCUGGGGCCCUCAGGUGGUGCCUGGGCUCUUCCAGCAGCUCCUGGUGGGAGGGCAGGCGCAACCCUUCCUGCCUCGGGGAGGGGACCCAGUGUCCCAUCUCUUCCCGUGGCUUGGACUUGGCUGGGGGCUGUCCUGGGGCACCAGGUAGGUGAACCCAGUGACGGCUGUAAAAUGCCCUCUUCUGCCUGGUUCCCUGUGCUGACAUCCUUCCUCACCAGAGGGCGCUGUGACCUCAGGAACUGUCCUUCCCCCGGAGCAAUGGGAGAGGGACCGGCUCUGUCCUGGGGGUGGGGUCGCUUGGCCUGUUGCACUGAUUGGGGAUCGGGGCUGGGCGGAUCCCCUCAGGAAUGGAUUGUCCCAGCUGGUGGGGGUGCACUGACCCCGCAACUCUCUGCCAGGAGGGGUUGGAUCCCUCCCCAAACAGCCCCCCACACCCCAUCUUGGUGCAGCUGUGGGGAGAUUCCCUCUCUCUCUCUGUGCCAAUUACACCCCUCCCUUGGAUCGCUGGGGUACCAGUGGCUCUGCAGCCUCUUAUCUCACAGCCCAGGGAGCUGUGGGGCAGAGUCUACACCUGGGGUGAUGGGGCCACAACCCCAGCUCCCCUGCUCAGCCCUACCUCGCCCCUCUCAGCCUACACGUAUCCAAAGAGACACAAGGGACCUAUUGAGUGCUCUCUGCACCCACCACGAGUGGGGGUCUGUGCCCCCCCCAACAGGAGCAGCAGUAGUUUGGGGGGCCCUGCCUGCAUCCCAUCCCCACCCAGCAGCACUGAGGAAGACCAGCGCUUUGAGGGAGGGGUCCUGUCAGCCCCACCAGCAGCACCAGGAGGAGCAGCGGAUUGGGGGGGGAUCCCCAACAGCACUAGGAGGAGCAACGGUUUGGGGAAUCUCAGCAGUACCAGGAGGAGCAGUGGAUUGGGGGUCCCUCUCAGCCCCCCCAGCAGCACCUGGAGGAGCAGCGGAUUGGGGGUUCCUCCGCCCCGCCGUUAGAGACUCUGCAUGUAAAUCAUGUUUAUAA